rnacentral:rRNA from 1 species
AUUGAACGCUGGCGGCAGGCCUAACACAUGCAAGUCGAGCGGUUGAAGGGAGCUUGCUCCCUGAUUCAGCGGCGGACGGGUGAGUAAUGCCUAGGAAUCUGCCUAUUAGUGGGGGACAACGUUUCGAAAGGAACGCUAAUACCGCAUACGUCCUACGGGAGAAAGCAGGGGACCUUCGGGCCUUGCGCUAAUAGAUGAGCCUAGGUCGGAUUAGCUUGUUGGUGAGGUAAUGGCUCACCAAGGCGACGAUCCGUAACUGGUCUGAGAGGAUGAUCAGUCACACUGGAACUGAGACACGGUCCAGACUCCUACGGGAGGCAGCAGUGGGGAAUAUUGGACAAUGGGCGAAAGCCUGAUCCAGCCAUGCCGCGUGUGUGAAGAAGGUCUUCGGAUUGUAAAGCACUUUAAGUUGGGAGGAAGGGUUGUAGAUUAAUACUCUGCAAUUUUGACGUUACCGGCAGAAUAAGCACCGGCUAACUCUGUGCCAGCAGCCGCAGUAA